rnacentral:rRNA from 1 species
GGGGGAUAACACUUAGAAAUAGGUGCUAAUACCGCAUAAGCGCACGGUUCCGCAUGGAACAGUGUGAAAAACUCCGGUGGUAUACGAUGGAUCCGCGUCUGAUUAGCCAGUUGGCGGGGUAACGGCCCACCAAAGCGACGAUCAGUAGCCGGCCUGAGAGGGUGAACGGCCACAUUGGGACUGAGACACGGCCCAAACUCCUACGGGAGGCAGCAGUGGGGAAUAUUGCACAAUGGGGGAAACCCUGAUGCAGCGACGCCGCGUGAGUGAAGAAGUAUUUCGGUACGUAAAGCUCUAUCAGCAGGGAAGAAAAAAAGUCCUUUGGACUUUGGACGGUACCUGACCAAGAAGCCCCGGCUAACUACGUGCCAGCAGCCGCGGUAAUACGUAGGGGGCAAGCGUUAUCCGGAUUUACUGGGUGUAAAGGGAGCGUAGACGGCAGCGCAAGUCUGGAGUGAAAUGCCGGGGCCCAACCCCGGAACUGCUUUGGAAACUGUGCAGCUCGAGUGCAGGAGAGGUAAGCGGAAUUCCUAGUGUAGCGGUGAAAUGCGUAGAUAUUAGGAGGAACACCAGUGGCGAAGGCGGCUUACUGGACUGUAACUGACGUUGAGGCUCGAAAGCGUGGGGAGCAAACAGGAUUAGAUACCCUGGUAGUCCACGCCGUAAACGAUGAUUACUAGGUGUCGGGGGGCCAAGGCCCUUCGGUGCCGCCGCAAACG